rnacentral:tRNA from 1 species
GCGGGCAUCGUAUAAUAGUUACUACAUCAGUCUUCCAGGCUGAUGAUGCGGGUUCGAUCCCGCUGACCGCUCCA